rnacentral:rRNA from 1 species
AAUCCUUGAAAAAGAAGAUCAAGAAACUUCGAAGAGGCUUUCUUGAUGGAGGGGAGCGGCAGACGGGUGAGUAACGCGUGGGAAUCUACCGUACCCUACGGAAUAGCUCUGGGAAACUGGAGGUAAUACCGUAUACGCCCUAACGGGGAAAGAUUUAUCGGGGUAUGAUGAGCCCGCGUUGGAUUAGCUAGUUGGUGGGGUAAAGGCCUACCAAGGCGACGAUCCAUAGCUGGUCUGAGAGGAUGAUCAGCCACAUUGGGACUGAGACACGGCCCAAACUCCUACGGGAGGCAGCAGUGGGGAAUAUUGGACAAUGGGCGCAAGCCUGAUCCAGCCAUGCCGCGUGAGUGAUGAAGGUCUUAGGAUUGUAAAGCUCUUUCACCGAUGAAGAUAAUGACGGUAGUCGGAGAAGAAGCCCCGGCUAACUUCGUGCCAGCCGCCGCCGUAACAC